CUCUUUUCCGCCAGCCGCCGCCGCCGUUUUCCCCGGUAUGGACGAACAGCGGGCGAGGUCUUUUAUGCCUUUCGCGGGAAGGUCAACAAACGGUGAGAAGCUAUCGAAAACGACCUGUUUUACCACAUUUCCAGGCCACUUGACCCACGGGGACCUGACUUUGCAACAUUCGUCGGGGGCGCUGCAAAAAGCUUAGCUUCUCGGAAACUCAGGCCUGCCUGUGUCUCUCAAGGAUGGACAGAGGUGGUUGUGGACUUAAGACCCUUUGAUGUAAGGGAUAGAGAGAAGCUAAGUGAGCGCACCCAUCUCUGAGCAUUUCAACCGCGAGGGAAUCCGAGCAAAGUAACAAUAAGAUACAACUAAUAUCCUAGGAAUGCUGCUGGUUUCACGGAGCCAAAGCUGGAGAGGAGUUUGCCUGAGGAUGAAUUGUGCCGCAGCUCUUACCCAUAUCUGACUCGGAUGACAAUCUUGAGGCUGUUGGGAUGGAAUGUGUGCAUUUUGCAUGCAAGAAGGAUGUGAAUCGGGAGGAUGGAGCCAGUGGUGGAUUAUCAUGGACCGAUUAUUAUUAUCACCUCCGAGUCACAUGUUGAAGCCCUAGAACCCAGUGUGGCUCUAUUUAGAGAUAGGGGCUCCUAAGUUGGUUUACAGUGUUCUGUCAAUUUUCUCCUGUACUGUCGGGAGCCAUAAGGCUGCUCCAGUAAAGAAAGCAAAGCCACAGUCGGCACCUGCAUGAGGCUUGUCUGGUUAGCAGAGCUACAGACAAGCUGAAGAAAGAAGAAGGAUUGCGGAUGCGUGAGGCUUGUCUGGUUAGCAGAGCUACAGACAAGCUGAAGAAAGAAGAAGGAUUGCAGAGCAAUCCCUUGAAAGACAUCGGCUCCAGGAAAAUAAAAAUGAUAUCCCCUAAAAAAUAUGUUAAUCUAUUUUUCUGUGUUUAUCCUUCCUUUUCUAUCUCUAUUCACAGCUUUCUUACUGCUAAAGAUUUGCCCUGGGUACGUAAAACACUUGAACCAAAACAGAAUGAAGUUAUUUAAACAAUGUAAUGGAAAAAGCCUUUGUUUUGGAGUAACAAUUUAUGGCACCUAUUUUGUGAGAGUAUACAGGGGAAACUUAUGAUUUCAGUCCCUUUACUUAAAAAGAAGUUUGGGGCUGGGAAAAAUGUUGUUUGGCCUAUAAAUUGCUAUAAUAGAUAUAUUUUUUAUCAAAUAACAGUGUCACCUGUAACUUUCAUCCCUUGUGGGGGCAUUUGUUAAUUUUGGGUAUAAUACUCCUUUCUAUUGAAAUUGGUGGUUUGGAACUUACGUAAAUCAGCACAAUAGGUUAAAUGCUUAGCUUGCUGGCGCCAAAUAAAUCGUGGUUUUAAGAAUGUCAUGAGCCCAAGGCUUUCAUGCGUUUUGUUAACUACAUACACCUUUAGUUAAAGAAUGUUAGGUAUCAUAGUUUAUUACUUAUUAAAGCUUUGUUCUUAAUAUAGAAUAGAAUAGCUACUGUUGUUGACCUUUUAAGAAAAAUACAGUGUGAAACUUUAAGUUUGUAAUCUUGAAGGAAAAUCUAAAGUUGAAAGGAACAUGUUUUAACUAACCUUUUUUUGUAUCUCGGGUGGAGGGAACAAAAGGGCUUUAAAUCAAAUGUUAAUGUCAAAUCUUACACGAAACCUGAUUGUGAUAGGGUAUAAAAACUGAUGCUUUUCAUUUAAUAAAUUGGGUCAUCUGCAGCAUGC
rnacentral:lncRNA from 9 species